rfam:Hordeum vulgare subsp. vulgare, WGS project CAJW01000000 data, contig: morex_contig_40401
AGAGUACUCCCUCCGUCCGGAAAUACUUGUCCAAGAAAUGGAUGAAUCUGGAUUUAUUUUAGUUAUACAUACAUUGAUUAUAUCCAUUUUUAGGACAAGUAUUUCUGGAGGGAGGGAGUAUAUC